ensembl:lncRNA novel transcript
GAAUCCCGGUGAGACUGUGAAGAUAUUGUGAGCGUUCUUGGAGAUCAGAGCAGAAAACAUCCAUCGGAGAAUGGCCCUGUCUGAGAGAUAUGUUACCCUAAACACCAAGACUCAAUAUAUAUGACUUAAGAAAAAAAAGAUCCUUAUGCACUAUCUGAAGGUGAUGCUUCCUGACUUUUGCAACAGAAAGAAUGCUGUCUUCCUGUGCCUGCGGAGAUGAUAAUCAAGCUGGCACACUGACAAUCAAUGUAAAUUCAUUAAACAAAACAGGAAGUAAACAGGUAGGACAUCUUUCUCCUCUGUGCUCCUUCCUUUUCCUCAUGAGAGAAGAAUGGACUAACCUCAUUGAUUGAGAUUGUCAUGACAAUGUGUCUCCUCCCCUUUCCUUUCUGGAAUGUGCUGAUAUUUUCUGCCUCUGCACUCUUCUCAGACCAUAUGGAGUGUUUCAUCAUUACAGGACCUGCUUACAUUUUCUCUCUACCAUGAAGCCUUGCAGCUCACCCUAUAGAUCCCUCACUCGGCUGUUGUGUUGGUCUACAUCACUUGUUUGGUCUUUAUCUUUAAUGCCCAAAUAGUAUUAAUUUUAUUUGCAUUCAUUUUUCUCUCCAUUCAGAUGGCAAACAUGGAAGCGGGCAGGGACCCUGAUUUUUAAAAUUCCCUCCAUGUUCUAUUAUAAUGCUUUAUGUUAUGUAUACUGAAUAGAUGUUAGUUUUUUUGAUUGAUUGAAAGAAGACAGCUAAGGAAUUAAAGAUACCUGAACAUUUCACACAAACAUUCAUAUUUUUGUGUCCAACUUGGGCACUGCUUAGACUGAGAUGUUAGCUAUUUGUUCAAACCCCCUGGGUCUGGUAGAGUGCUGCUCAAUGGAUGGCUUGCAGACCCUGCUGGAACAUGAACUGAUUGCUAGCAGCCCAUGCCAAGAUAAAGAGUUUAUAUCAGAAGGUAAAUGAACAGUGUCACUUAGCACAUUGUAGAGUUCAACUGACAUUUUAUUUAUUUAUUUUUAUCAUUUUUAGCUUGUCAAGGUAUAACUGACAUACAAAAAAUUGCACACAUUUAAUAUGUUCUUAGUUAAAAAAACCCCAAAGCCAAAACCCAAAACUACCCCAACAGACACACACACAUGCACACAUGUGCACAUACACACACACAUACACACACAAAUUAGUUUUAGCAGGUGAUGGAUAUGUUUAGUACCUUGGUUGUACUGAUGGUACUGAUGGUAGUAUGCAUAUGUCCAAACUCAACAAACUGGUGAGGUUUUUAUUUUUAUUUUUUGUUUUUUAAAGCAAUACUUUAAACUAGCAAAACUUGUUUUUUUUUAAUUGUUUUUUUUUAGGGUUUCAGGUGAUGUUGUGUUUUCUUUUUCUUUUUUUUUAUUAUACUUUAAGUUUUGGGGUACAUGUGCACAACAUGCAGGUUUUAAAGCAAGACUUGAUGAAGAAAUUAUUGACACAGUGAGAAAUACUGUGAUAAUAUUUGGUGAUUAUAGUGAGGAUAACAGACAUGUUCUGGUUGACAACUCUGAUAUAUUAAUAGAAAAAUGAAUUGUGAUUCAUUUGACUUACAUUCUAGCCCGUUUCUUACCUCACGUUGAAGCUAUUAAAAAUAAUUCAGACCUGCUAAGUUGAGCAGUGCUGGUCUUUGCACUCCUCCCCUGCCUAAUGAGUGAUUGGAGGGGAGCAUAUUGCAUGUAUUUUGUAUAAUACUAUGUAAAAACUUUACUUUCUCGAAUGUAUAGUUUUCUUAAGCUUCAGUUUCUUCAUAUAUAAAAUGGGACUAAUCAUAUUUUCUUCACAGAACUGUUGUCAGAAUUAAAAUUUUAAAAGUGCAUAAAAAUUUUUUUAGCCCAGGAUCUGGGAUAUAUGAACACGAAAUAAUUGGUGCCUGUGAUUACUAUUGAAGCUAUAUCCUAUGUGCCAUAUGCCGUUCUAGCAGAAUGCAUUAGUUAGUUAUAAAAUUUAACAUUAUUUUAUUAUAUUUAAUUGUAAAUAUAAUUAAACCAUUUAAAUCUACUGAAUAAACUUUUAAGAAAUUGAUGAAGUUUCUCAUGGGAAGAUGCAGGCUUUGGGAGAUAUAAGCAUGUUCUAUCAUGACUGAAAGUUGCCUUAAUAAAGAAGGAAAUAGUGCCAUAUAAGACAACAUGGAUGAACCUUGAGGAUACUAUGUUAAGUGAAAUUAGCCCGUCAUGGACAAGUAAUGCAUAAUUCCACUUACAUGAGGUAUCUAAAAUAAUCCACUAGAUAGAAGCAAAGAGUAAAACAGUGAUUGCCAGCAUCUGGGGAGGAGGCAGUGUUGGGGCAUUGCUAUUCAGCAGGUAUAAAGUUUCAGUAUGCAAGUCAUUAAGUUCUAGAGAUUUGCUGUACAACAUUGUGUCUAUGUUGUUAACACAGUCAGCAACACUGUAUUGUAUACUUGAAAAUUUGUUAACAGGGUAGAUCUCAUGUUAAGUGUUCUUAACAUGAUUUUAGAAAAAAGUACAUAUAAGUUUAUGCACUUUUAUGCAGUACCUUAGGUUCAGAAUAUGUGAAACCGUAUUAUGCACUGUAGAAAUUUUAAGAUCAAUUUAAAAAUAACUAAUA